CUUCACCAUCUAACACAGUAGACAGCAGUACUACACCAUUCACCAUCUAACACAGUAGACAUCAAGUAUUACCACCUUCCACCAUCUAACACAGCAGACAGCAGUACUACACCUUCACCAUCUAACACAGUAGACAGCAAUACUACACCUUUACCAUCUAACGCAGUAGACAGCAGUACUACACCUUCAGCAGAAGAUGGCAGCACACUAGAAGUCACAACGUCCACUCCUAUUGAACUUGGAUCAACAUCGACUCUUCAAGCCACACAUACCGUCCCUGCUGUGUCUAACCUAGUACAGACCAUUACCAGUCAUUCUGAUGACACAACUGGUAACACAACACCACCAGUCACAACAACCUUGUUCCACAAUACUGUCUCCAAGGAAACAACUGAGGCAGACCAWAAGAACAUCAUAACCUCUCACAAAGAUACCCAAACUCUAAUCGCCCAUUUGAGGGUCUCUAUAGUUUCGGCUGGGGACAUAAGUAAGGAGGAGAUCAUUGAGGCGUUGCAUAAUCUUGCAGCGCAGGUCCAAGCCUUUCUACAGAGAGAGUACUGUAACAACUGCACACUACGCAUCAGAAACGUCAGAGGAAUAUGAGACCAACAUUUAAUCCAAACCAGGUCUCUACACUAACCCAAAGAAUCUUAUGAGAUUCCUGGAACUAACCCUCAUCAUAUAACCCUAAUAUAGUCUGGAACACUGUCACGACCUGAACAUAGAGAGCCCUUGGUUCUCUAUGGUGUAGUAGGUCUGGGUGUGACUAGGGGGUGUUCUAG